GAUGAACGCUGACAGCAUGCUUAACACAUCAGCAAUUGAUUGGUGGCGGACGGGUGAGUAACGCGUAAAGAACUUGCACCGCCGCUAGGGACACCAUUUGGAAACGAAAGCUAAUAUCUAAUACUGUGAGAGAGCUUUGCGUCCCAUUAGCUAGUUGGAGAGGUAACGGCUCACCAAGGCGAUGAUGGGUAGCCGGCCUGAGAGGGUGAUCGGGCACAAGGGGACUGAGACACGGCCCUUGCUCCGACGGGAGGCAGCAGUGAGGAAUAUUGGACAAUGGGCCAAAGUCUGAUCCAGCAAUUCUGGGUGCACGAUGAAGUUGUCGGAAUGUAAAGUGCUUUCAGUUGGGAAGCGGUACCAACAGAAGAAGCGACGGCUAAAUACGUGCCAGCAGCCGCGGUAAUAC
rnacentral:rRNA from 1 species